rnacentral:lncRNA from 1 species
GAUAUAAACAGUGUAAACGAAAUCAUACAAAUGAUAGAGGCUGGUGACCUCCAUAAACAGGCAAAAGGAGAUGAGCAUAUCACCUAAGUUUCCAACAUGAAUAGAUGGAAUUAUUCGCUGAGAAAGACAUAAAGAACCAGCAGGUUUGGGAGUAAUCAGAAACCUCCAAGUGGCAUGGCAGGCCAUGUGAAUAAACAGGUUGCAAGCUCAGCAGAGAGGUCUCGACUAAAUACACUGAAAACCACAGGGGGAAGAGAUGAAGCCACAAAGAUGCUUACCCAGGAAAAAUAAACAUGGUGAAACCCCGUCUCUACUAAAAAUACAAAAAAUUAGCCGGGCAUGGUGGCAGGCGCCUGUAGUCCCAGCUACUUGGGAAGCUGAGGCAGGAGAAUGGCGUGAACCUGGGAGGCGGAGCUUGCAGUGAGCCAAAAUGCCGCCACUGCACUCCAGCCUGGGUGACAGAGUGAGACUCUCCUUCACACAGUUCGUGUGACCUGAUUCUUCCUGGACACCGAACAAGAACUCGGGUGUCAAAAAUGGCAGGUGCAAGAGGCUGUCACCCUGACCCUUCACUGAGCUGUUAACACUUAAACGUUCAUGGACUGCAGACUGAGUGAAAUAAGCCACUCUAGUUCCUGCCCACAAAGGGGGUCAAGGAGAUCAAGGAAACAUCCUGUCUCAAUAGGAAAUAUUGGGGUAUAUAAAAACUUUUACAGAUCUGUUAUAGAUCCUUCCCUAGACAAUGUGUCUAGGAGACUUAUCUAUGACUUACAGCAACACUUCUUGUCUUAGGUUGGGUUUUGUAGAAGCAGAGCCUCAGGAAGGGGUUCUAGUGUCUGUACUUUGAGCGAAUGCUCUUUAGAAAAAAUCUGUAAGGAAAGGGAAGAGCCAGAUAAAAAGGAGCUGAGCAAGGAUAUGGUUCCAGGAAAAGUCUGGGUUGGGACAGAAGAGUGUUGGAGAGUAGAAACAAGUUGGUCCUUGGUCACCCUUGGGGAGGAGGGGGGUAUAAUGUCUCAGGAGCCUCCAGUGAGGUGGAUCCAUUUAGCCAAAGUCAAGCCUCUGGAGAAAGUCACAGCUAUAAGCUGUUGGCCCAGGCACAUGAGCAGCUGAAGGAUGAACGGCCCAGGCUAUAAGGGGGAUCUGGGCUAGGCAACAAUAAUGUCUAACACACUGUGGUUUGUUCUUCUUUUUAAUACAUGAUAGUGAGAACUUCAUUUUGCAUAUUCUUUGUAUCUCCAGUACUUACCACCGUGCCUAACAUAUGGUAGGUUUGUAAUAAAUUGUUUCAUUUAUUUAAAUUACAUAUUGAGAGCUACUUAUCAAAUCUACAAAACAAUUUCUUAA